rnacentral:lncRNA from 1 species
UGGUUCUGUACCUGGGGCUUGUGAUCUGAAAAUCACAUGAAGACUGAAAUUGAAUUCACCAACAUCUGCCCUAGGCUUUCAGACCUGGGGUCAUGGCCCUGGACCACAGCCAGAAGGCAGGUCUUUUUGAGGCCCUUAGGUCCCUGGGGUCCAUAGUAGCUUGCUUACUACUGUACUGUGUGGUAUGCCCUUGGGAAGUGGCCUCCCAGGGCCUGGCCAUCCUGGGGUAGCCCUAGGAUGGAUAGACCCGUGAGCACCAGAGCCAAGGAACUUCACCCCUGAACCCUGUGUUGUCAAAGCUGGCCCCACUGACAUCCUUCACUCACCUUCAGGGUCUUCUCCCCUGGGAACUUUGUAAAGAUAGUUGCAGUGUCUCUGGCACAAGUCUGUUAUAAGGUCACACAGGGUCUUUCUUUGGAAAGCUGGCAGCUCCUGCCUUUCAGUUGUCCCUCCAAAAGAGCGGCUCUUCCUUCCAUGAAGAGAUGGGCUAAGUAUGUUGAAUCUGGAAUGAGAAAUGAGAGCCCCCUGUUCUCUGCCUUGGGCUCAGCAUUCUGGGGAGUCAGGCACUCAGCAUGGUGAUAAACAAGUGCAGAUGGCACUUUAAACAGUAGUUGCUGUCUGUGUCGGGCAGUGGUGCAGUUCUUGAAGAGUACUGCAGCCAGCCCAGGGCCCAGUGGGAGGGCCGUCCAGGGACUCUGGCCUUCUCGUCCCAUCUCAGACUUGCUCUCAGACUCACUGCAGAGCAUGGGUUCUGUGACCUGCUUGGAUGGCAUCCUGUCCUCAAGCCUGGCCACAGCAGGCUCUUCAAGAAGUUAAAACUGACCCAUCUGGUAUAGAGGUCCAAGUGACAACGCCAGGGGUGCUCUGGACCGGGAAGGGCCAUUCCUAAAGUUGGACCCAAGGGGUGAAAAACACUGCACAGGGUCUCAAAGACUUGGUACCAAAAAAGGCACGUGCAAUCUGUCCACGGCUAUGCAGUCUGUCCACAGCUGUGUGCUGACUACAUGCUGAAAUGAUAUUUUUGGAUAUAUUAGGUUAAAUAAAACAAUCAAAAUUUG